AAGCGAAGGAAGAUGAACAGUGCUCAGCUGGUUUAAUGAUAUGCCAGGCCCGAGCUUUCCUCCCCAACCACCCCCAUAUCCAAACCCAUCCAGUUCUUCUUCCAGAUUUCCGCUGGGCGCCCAAAGUUUCUUUGCGUGGUGCUGUCCCCGAAGAUUUCCACCAUAGCUAGUCUGGAGGAGACAAGCGGACCAUGGAAUUCCUUGGCGACGCUGAACUAUCAGGAUGCGCACAAAGCCUUGUUCCGCCCCCCUCUGCUGAAUCAAGGAGGACCGCCGGUGAGAUAGAACAAAAUGGCUAAGUGUCAUCAGGAUUCAUGUCCAGGCUAGGGAUGCUAGAGAGAACUGGUGCUCCGUUGGAGAAGCAUGUUCAGGCCCCAGUACGCGGCGCAAGAGCGGUAGUGUUCGAGAGCUCUGGCGCCCAAGGAUCUGCUUCGUCUCAGGCUAGUGCAGAUGACGCUGUUGUGGGGGAUUCUGGAGGCAAAGAUGAGGUCGCUGAGGCAACAUCUGGAUGGACUAGAAGGUACGUACUUGCAAAAAUUAGUCAUUCACAGUUACCAAAUAAAACACAGUUACCAAAUAAUGUAUGUGGGUUGAAUGUUGAUAAGAAUAUACAUGCAUUUCCCCUCCGUUGGUUAGUAUUCUGUGUGUUUGUUAAUUGCUGAAAAUGUUGGUGGCUCAUUCAACAAAGGUUUCUGCUGGUUAAUUUAUAUUUUUAUAACA